GAUGAACGCUGGCGGCGUGCUUAACACAUGCAAGUCGAACGGAAAGGCCCAAGCUUGCUUGGGUACUCGAGUGGCGAACGGGUGAGUAACACGUGGGUGAUCUGCCCUGCACUUCGGGAUAAGCCUGGGAAACUGGGUCUAAUACCGGAUAGGACGAUGGUUUGGAUGCCAUUGUGGAAAGUUUUUUCGGUGUGGGAUGAGCUCGCGGCCUAUCAGCUUGUUGGUGGGGUAAUGGCCUACCAAGGCGUCGACGGGUAGCCGGCCUGAGAGGGUGUACGGCCAAAUUGGGACGGAGAAAGGGCCCAGACCCCUACGGGGGGCAGAGGUGGGGAAUGUGGCAAAAUGGGGGCAGGCCUAAGGCAGCGACGCGGCGUGGGGGAGAACGGCCUUCGGGUUGUAAACCCUUUCGCUAGGGACGAAGCGUUUUUGUGACGGUACCUGGAGAAGAAGCACCGGCUAACUACGUG
rnacentral:rRNA from 1 species